rnacentral:siRNA from 1 species
AGGUGUUUAAACAAGCUCUAC